AGAGUUUGAUCAUGGCUCAGAAUCAACGCUGGCGGCGUGCCUCAGACAUGCAAGUCGAACGCGAAAGUCCCCUUCGGGGGACAAGUAGAGUGGCGCACGGGUGAGUAACACGUAGGUAAUCUACCUUCGGGUGGGGAAUAACAACCGGAAACGGUUGCUAAUACCGCAUAAUGCAGCGGCACCUAAUGGUGACAGUUGUUAAAGCGGGGGAUCGCAAGACCUCGCGCCUGAAGAGGAGCCUGCGGCGGAUUAGCUAGUUGGCAGGGUAACGGCCUACCAAGGCGACGAUCCGUAGCCGGCCUGAGAGGGCGGUCGGCCACACUGACACUGACAUACGGGUCAGACUCCUACGGGAGGCAGCAGUCGGGAAUUUUGGGCAAUGGGCGAAAGCCUGACCCAGCAACGCCGCGUGAAGGAUGAAAUCCCUCGGGAUGUAAACUUCGCAAGAACGGGGAGAAUAAGCCGGUGUGAAUACCACCGGCGAUGACGGUACCGUUUGUAAGCUCCGGCUAACUCCGUGCCAGCAGCCGCGGUAAUACGGGGGGGAGCAAGCGUUGUUCGGAUUUACUGGGCGUAAAGGGCGCGUAGGCGGCCUCCGCAAGUCAAUUGUGAAAUCUCCGGGCUUAACUCGGAAAGGUCAACUGAUACUGCGGGGCUAGAGUGCGGAAGGGGCAACUGGAAUUCUCGGUGUAGCGGUGAAAUGCGUAGAUAUCGAAGA
rnacentral:rRNA from 1 species